CGUAAGCGCACGCAGGCGGUCUGUCAAGUCGGAUGUGAAAUCCCCGGGCUCAACCUGGGAACUGCAUUCGAAACUGGCAGGCUAGAGUCUUGUAGAGGGGGGUAGAAUUCCAGGUGUAGCGGUGAAAUGCGUAGAGAUCUGGAGGAAUACCGGUGGCGAAGGCGGCCCCCUGGACAAAGACUGACGCUCAGGUGCGAAAGCGUGGGGAGCAAACAGGAUUAGAUACCCUGGUAGUCCACGCUGUAAACGAUGUCGAUUUGGAGGUUGUGCCCUUGAGGCGUGGCUUCCGGAGCUAACGCGUUAAAUCGACCGCCUGGGGAGUACGGCCGCAAGGUUAAAACUCAAAUGAAUUGACGGGGGCCCGCACAAGCGGUGGAGCAUGUGGUUUAAUUCGAUGCAACGCGAAGAACCUUACCUGGUCUUGACAUCCACAGAACUUUCCAGAGAUGGAUUGGUGCCUUCGGGAACUGUGAGACAGGUGCUGCAUGGCUGUCGUCAGCUCGUGUUGUGAAAUGUUGGGUUAAGUCCCGCAACGAGCGCAACCCUUAUCCUUUGUUGCCAGCGGUCCGGCCGGGAACUCAAAGGAGACUGCCAGUGAUAAACUGGAGGAAGGUGGGGAUGACGUCAAGUCAUCAUGGCCCUUACGACCAGGGCUACACACGUGCUACAAUGGCAUAUACAAAGAGAAGCGACCUCGCGAGAGCAAGCGGACCUCAUAAAGUAUGUCGUAGUCCGGAUUGGAGUCUGCAACUCGACUCCAUGAAGUCGGAAUCGCUAGUAAUCGUAGAUCAGAAUGCUACGGUGAAUACGUUCCCGGGCCUUGUACACACCGCCCGUCACACCAUGGGGAGUGGGUUGCAAAAGAAGUAGGUAGCUUAACCUUCGGGAGGGCGCUUACCACUUUGUGAUUCAUGACUGGGUGAGACAACG
rnacentral:rRNA from 1 species